rnacentral:rRNA from 1 species
GACGAACGCUGGCGGCGUGCUUAACACAUGCAAGUCGAACGCUGAAGCCCAGCUUGCCGGGUGGAUGAGUGGCGAACGGGUGAGUAACACGUGAGUAACCUGCCCCCUUCUUUGGGAUAACGCCCGGAAACGGGUGCUAAUACUGGAUAUUCACUGGCCUUCGCAUGGGGGUUGGUGGAAAGGUUUUUUCUGGUGGGGGAUGGGCUCGCGGCCUAUCAGCUUGUUGGUGGGGUGAUGGCCUACCAAGGCUUUGACGGGUAGCCGGCCUGAGAGGGUGACCGGUCACAUUGGGACUGAGAUACGGCCCAGACUCCUACGGGAGGCAGCAGUGGGGAAUAUUGCACAAUGGGCGAAAGCCUGAUGCAGCGACGCCGCGUGAGGGAUGACGGCCUUCGGGUUGUAAACCUCUUUCGCUCAUGGUCAAGCCGCAGCUUUGGGUUGUGGUGAGGGUAGUGGGUAAAGAAGCGCCGGCUAACUACGUGCCAGCAGCCGCGGUAAUACGUAGGGCGCGAGCGUUGUCCGGAAUUAUUGGGCGUAAAGGGCUUGUAGGCGGUUGGUCGCGUCUGCCGUGAAAUCCUCUGGCUUAACUGGGGGCGUGUGGUGGGUACGGGCUGACUUGAGUGCGGUAGGGGAGACUGGAACUCCUGGUGUAGCGGUGGAAUGCGCAGAUAUCAGGAAGAACACCGGUGGCGAAGGCGGGUCUCUGGGCCGUUACUGACGCUGAGGAGCGAAAGCGUGGGGAGCGAACAGG